rnacentral:rRNA from 1 species
AACGAACGUUGGCGGCGUGGAUUAGGCAUGCAAGUCGAACGAGAAAGCCACCUUCGGGUGGUUAGUAAAGUGGCGAACGGGUGAGUAACGCGUGGGAAAUCUGCCCUACAGUUGGGGAGUAACACUCCUAACGGAGUGCUAAUACCGAAUGAGACCACGAGAUCGCAUGGUCUUGAGGUUGAAGGUGGCCUCUCCUUGGAAGCUACCGCUGCAGGAGGAUCCCGCGUCCCAUUAGCUUGUUGGCAGGGUAACGGCCUACCAAGGCUUCGAUGGGUAGCUGGUCUGAGAGGAUGGUCAGCCACACUGGGACUGAGAUACGGCCCAGACUCCUACGGGAGGCAGCAGUCGAGAGGCUUCGGCAAUGGGGGAAACCCGUGACCGAGCGACGCCGCGUGGGC